AAAAUGGCUCUGUCUAUCAAGUGAAUAACAAAGUGUAGACUGCCUGUCUGUUUCCUAUACAAAACUUAGAUUUCAUUUGCCAUUAUUGUCGGCCUUUCUGCUGAUUUAAUAACUUCUAAGGAGAAGAACUAGGGGUUCUGAUGCAGCCUCACUAUUUAAGAAACUACUUGGAAAGGGAAUUCUCAAGGGCUGAAAGAGCCUUCAGAUGGUCAGAUAAAGUACCUGAUGCUGAAAAACAGGAAAUUGAAUCAUGUCUCCAAAAUGUGCCUUUUGUCAUGCACUGUUACAGCUAUAUUUCUUGUAACUACAUUCAGCCUCCAGCCAAGAUAAAGAAUUAUGUGAUACAUACUUCAUCUUCCAUCACUGCUUUCAAAAGAUGUGAAUUCUGCAAACCAGACAGAAGAGGGAGCUAUCCAUCUGGAAAUUAACCAAUCCUUUCAAAAACAUGUCAAAUA
rnacentral:lncRNA from 1 species